rfam:Lachnospiraceae bacterium A4 genomic scaffold acPFC-supercont1.10, whole genome shotgun sequence.
AGGGGCAUAGUUCAACGGUAGAACAGCGGUCUCCAAAACCGUCAAUGCGAGUUCGAUUCUUGCUGCCCCUG